GAUGAACGCUAGCGGCAGGCUUAAUACAUGCAAGUCGUGGGGCGACAUGAGUGUAGCAAUACAUUUGAUGGCGACCGGCAAACGGGUGCGGAACACGUACACAACCUUCCUUUAAGUGGGGAAUAGCCCAGAGAAAUUUGGAUUAAUACCCCGUAACAUAUAGAAGUGGCAUCACUUUUAUAUUAUAGCAGCAAUGCGCUUGAAGAUGGUGUGCGGCUGAUUAGAUAGUUGGCGGGGUAACGGCUCACCAAGUCGACGAUCAGUAACUGGUGUGAGAGCACGACCCGGCACACGGGCACUGAGACACGGGCCCGACUCCUACGGGAGGCAGCAGUAAGGAAUACUGGUCAAUGGACGCAAGUCUGAACCAGCCAUGCCGCGUGAAGGAUUAAGGUCCUCUGGAUUGUAAACUUCUUUUAUCUGGGACGAAAAAAGGCGAUUCUUCGUCACUUGACGGUACCAGAUGAAUAAGCACCGGCUAACUCCGUGCCAGCAGCCGCCGCCGUAA
rnacentral:rRNA from 1 species